UGGGGAGUACGGUCGCAAGAUUAAAACUCAAAGGAAUUGACGGGGACCCGCACAAGCGGUGGAUGAUGUGGAUUAAUUCGAUGCAACGCGAAAAACCUUACCUACCCUUGACAUGUACGGAAGGCCGAAGAGAUUUGGUUGUGCUCGAAAGAGAACCGUAACACAGGUGCUGCAUGGCUGUCGUCAGCUCGUGUCGUGAGAUGUUGGGUUAAGUCCCGCAACGAGCGCAACCCUUGUCAUUAGUUGCUACGAAAGGGCACUCUAAUGAGACUGCCGGUGACAAACCGGAGGAAGGUGGGGAUGACGUCAAGUCCUCAUGGCCCUUAUGGGUAGGGCUUCACACGUCAUACAAUGGUACAUACAGAGCGCCGCCAACCCGCGAGGGGGAGCUAAUCGCAGAAAGUGUAUCGUAGUCCGGAUUGUAGUCUGCAACUCGACUACAUGAAGUUGGAAUCGCUAGUAAUCGCGGAUCAGCAUGUCGCGGUGAAUACGUUCCCGGGUCUUGUACACACCGCCCGUCACACCAUGGGAGCGGGUUUUACCAGAAGUAGGUAGCUUAACCGCAAGGAGGGCGCUUACCACGGUAGGAUUCGUGACUG
rnacentral:rRNA from 1 species